rnacentral:rRNA from 1 species
UACGUAGGGUGCGAGCGUUAAUCGGAAUUACUGGGCGUAAAGCGUGCGCAGGCUGUUUUGUAAGUCAGAUGUGAAAUCCCUGGGCUCAACCUAGGAACUGCGUUUGAAACUACAAGGCUAGAGUGUAGCAGAGGGGGGUAGAAUUCCACGUGUAGCAGUGAAAUGCGUAGAGAUGUGGAGGAAUACCAAUGGCGAAGGCAGCCCCCCUGGGUUAACACUGACGCUCAUGCACGAAAGCGUGGG